AUUGAACGCUGGCGGCAGGCCUAACACAUGCAAGUCGAGCGGAGCGGCGGACGGGUGAGUAAUGCCUAGGAAUCUGCCUGGUAGUGGGGGAUAACGUCCGGAAACGGGCGCUAAUACCGCAUACUAUCAGAUGAGCCUAGGUCGGAUUAGCUAGUUGGUGGGGUAAAGGCCUACCAAGGCGACGAUCCGUAACUGGUCUGAGAGGAUGAACAGUCACCAUGCAAAUGAGACACGGUCCAGAAUCCUACGAGAGACAGACGUGGGGAAUAUUUGACAAGGGGCGAAAGCAGGAUACAGACAUGCCGCGGGUGGGAAGAAGGUCUGCGGAUUUUAAAGCACUUUAAGUUGGGAGGCGUUACCAACAGAAUAAGCACCGGCUAACUUCGUGCAAGAAGCCGCUGUAAUUC
rnacentral:rRNA from 1 species